AUUGAACGCUGGCGGCAGGCCUAACACAUGCAAGUCGAACGAGUGGCGGACGGGUGAGUAAUGUCUGGGAAACUGCCUGAUGGAGGGGGAUCACUACUGGAAACGGUAGCUACUACCGCAUACCCUCAGAUGUGCCCAGAUGGGAUUCGCUAGUUGGUGGGGUAACGGCUCACCAAGGCGACGAUCCCUAGCUGGUCUGAGAGGAGGCCCAGCCAAACGGGAACUGAGACACGGCCCAGACGCCUACGGGAGGCAGCAGUGGGGAAUAUUGCACAAGGGGCGAAAGCCUGAUGCAGACAUGCCGCGUGUAUGAAGAAGGCCUUCGGGUUGGAAAGUACUUUCAGCGGGGAGGCGUUACCCGCAGAAGAAGCACCGGCUAACUCCGUGCCAGCAGCCGCGGUAAUAC
rnacentral:rRNA from 1 species